UACGUAGGGCGCAAGCGUUGUCCGGAAUUAUUGGGCGUAAAGAGCUCGUAGGCGGUUUGUCGCGUCUGCUGUGAAAACCUAAGGCUCAACCUUGGGCUUGCAGUGGGUACGGGCAGACUAGAGUGCGGUAGGGGGUGACUGGAAUUCCUGGUGUAGCGGUGGAAUGCGCAGAUAUCAGGAGGAACACCGAUGGCGAAGGCGGCUCG
rnacentral:rRNA from 1 species